GUCAUUUGCAAAGAAAUUUUGCGCAUUCCAGAUUUGAAGCCAGAUAGCAGAAGGGGAACCCUCUGGCUUCUCCAGGAAAGCUUUCUUGCUGGAAUCAUCAAAGUCCAAUGGCAAAACAAAAGUCAGGACUACUGAUUAUGGCUAUCUCCAAUGUCUGGUCAAGCUCUAAGCACUCCACAGCCCCUGCUUCAGCUGCCUUCAUGGUCAUUGGAUCAAAUUGUUCUCAUUCACCCAUUAGCUGAGGGAAAUGGAGUCUUUACAUUCUUGUGACAGAUACCCCUCUAACUCACGGCCAGGCUUAAAGACUUUUGGUAACCUUCAACCUGGUUUAGUCCAUCUGUCUAUAUGCUUUACUGGAUUGUGGUUUUGCACAUGCUACAUGUUUGCACAUGCUUAGAGUCACAGAAAGUACUAAGAAUGUCAAGAUUGAUACAGUUCAAACAAGAGUAUACAAUGAUCAAUUCUGAUGGACGUGGCUCUUUUCAACAAUGAGAUGAUUCAAAAUUCCAGUUGUUCAGUAGUGAAGAGAGCCAUCUACAAGGAGAAAGAGGACUAUGGGAACUGAGUGUGAACCACAACCAAAAUAGCAUUUUCACUCUUUCUGUUAUUGUAUGCUUGCAUUUUUGUUUUCCUGAAAAGGUUUUUUUUUUCCUAGAUCCAAUUUUUCUUUGCAGCAAGAUAACUGUAUAAGUAUGUAUACAUAUAUUGGAUUUAACAUAUAUUUUAACAUAUUUAACAUGUAUUGGACUACCUGCCAUCUAGGGGAGGGGAUGGGGGGAAGGAGAGGAAAUUUGGAAUAGAAGGUUUUGCAAGGGUCAAUGUUAAAAAAUUAUGCAUGUGUAUGCUUUGUAAAUAAAAAGCUAUACUAAAAUAAAAAAAUACUUUUAAAAAAAGAUUGAUACAGUUCAGUUCCUUCAAUUGCUAGUCAUUGUUCAAGGAGCUCAUAUUUAGAAUAAUAAUAAGUUAAAGUGUGUAGAUGGUCUGAAAAUUGCGAUUCUUGGCAAACCUGCCUCUGUUUCCUCUACUCUGCCAUGUAUCAUUGUGGCAUGAAGAAGACCUGAAUUCUCAAAGUUUGAAAGAGCUUUUCCAUGCCAUAGAGACUUUACAUAUAGUGAAUUAAAAGUCAAUUAUGUUUUCACAAAAAAAAUGAAAUUGACAUUGAAAGAUAAUUUGCUGAUGUGAUAUGGGAGUAUUUUAAAAAUGAGAAGUCUUCAUGUACUCAGAUUUAAGGCUGACUGAAGCAAAAGUCAAAAUCAAUGUCAAAUUAGGUAAAAAGAAAAGGAUGACAAAAGAUACUUGAUCAUUUACAACUUUAACCUUAACUGUUUAAAUCAACUGUCAGCUUUGAAAAAAUGGUAAAUAAAAUACAAUUAUUUGUUAACCAAUGAAA